UACGUAGGUGGCAAGCGUUGUUCGGAAUUACUGGGCGUAAAGCGCGUGUAGGCGGCUCUUCAAGUCAGGCGUGAAAGCCCCGGGCUUAACUCGGGAACUGCGCUUGAUACUGUCGAGCUAGAGUGUGGAAGGGGCGAUUGGAAUUCCGUGUGUAGCGGUGAAAUGCGUAGAUAUACGGAGGAACACCAGAGGCGAAGGCGGAUCGCUGGGCCAACACUGACGCUGAGACGCGAAAGCUAGGGGAGCAAACAGG
rnacentral:rRNA from 1 species